ensembl:misc_RNA Metazoa_SRP Metazoan signal recognition particle RNA
GCUGGGCAUGGUGGCACAUGCCUGUAAUCCCAGCUACUUGGGAGGCUAGGCAGGAGAAUUGCUUGAACCCAGGAGGCAGAGAUUGCAGUGAGCAGAGAUUGUGCCACUGCACUCCAGCCUGGGCAACAGAGCAAGACUCUGUCUAAA